rnacentral:rRNA from 1 species
AUGAGCCGGACCAAGUGGUAUGGAAUCUUGGGAAGAAUAAACGCUUCUCAACUAAAUGUGUAUACGCAUGUUUGGAAAGGCAUUUUAGCCGGCUGUGACUAUAGAUGGAUUUGGAAAGCUAAAUUCCGUCUUAAGAUUCAAAUCUUUUUAUGACAAUUAUUCUAGGAUGUCGUGUUGACACGAGAUGUCAUGAACAGACGAAACUGGGUUGGAAAUUAGAAGUGUUCCUUCUGUAUGGAUAGAGAAACCUCGCAACACCUUUUCUUCACUUACCAUGUUGCCAAGGUAGUUUGGAACCGUUGGGUGUGUCCUGGGCAUGGAAUUAUGCCCGAACAAUCCGUGGCAAUACUUCUCCUACUGUUAUAUCUUCUUGCCGGAUGGAUCUAA